AAUGAACGUUGGCGGCGUGGAUUAGGCAUGCAAGUCGAGCGAGAACCGUAGCAAUACGGGGACAGCGGCGAAAGGGACAGUAAUGUGUAGGUACCUACCCCCGGGUUCGGGAUAGCUGCGGGAAACUGCAGGUAAUACCGAAUAAUGUCUUCGGACCAAAGGUGUGAUUCCACCUGGGGAGGGGCCUGCAUCCUAUUAGCUUGUUGGUGGGGUAACGGCUUACCAAGGCGACGAUGGGUAGCGGGUGUGAGAGCAUGACCCGCGUCAUUGGGGCUGAGACACUGCCCAGACGCCUACGGGUGGCUGCAGUCGAGGAUCUUCGGCAAUGGGCGCAAGCCUGACCGAGCGACGCCGCGUGCGGGAUGAAGGCCUUCGGGUUGUAAACCGCUGUCGUAGAGGAGGAAAUGCAGGAGGGUUCUCCCUUCUGUUUGACCUAUUCUAGGAGGAAGUACGGGCUAAGUUCGUGCCAGCAGCCGCAGUAA
rnacentral:rRNA from 1 species